GUGGGGAAUAUUGCACAAUGGGCGCAAGCCUGAUGCAGCGACGCCGCGUGGGGGAUGAAGGCCUUCGGGUUGUAAACUCCUUUCGCUAGGGACGAAGCUUUUUUGUGACGGUACCUAGAUAAGAAGCACCGGCUAACUACGUGCCAGCAGCCGCGGUAAUACGUAGGGUGCGAGCGUUGUCCGGAAUUACUGGGCGUAAAGGGCUCGUAGGUGGUUUGUCGCGUCGUCUGUGAAAUUCUGGGGCUUAACUCCGGGCGUGCAGGCGAUACGGGCAUAACUUGAGUGCUGUAGGGGUAACUGGAAUUCCUGGUGUAGCGGUGAAAUGCGCAGAUAUCAGGAGGAACACCGAUGGCGAAGGCAGGUUACUGGGCAGUUACUGACGCUGAGGAGCGAAAGCAUGGGUAGCGA
rnacentral:rRNA from 1 species